rnacentral:rRNA from 1 species
UACGAAGGGUGCAAGCGUUAAUCGGAAUUACUGGGCGUAAAGCGUGCGCAGACGGUUGCGUAAGUCAGAUGUGAAAGCCCCGGGCUCAACCUGGGAAUUGCAUUUGAGACUGCGUGGCUAGGGUGCGGAAGAGGGAAGCGGAAUUUCCGGUGUAGCGGUGAAAUGCGUAGAUAUCGGAAGGAACACCAGUGGCGAAAGCGGCUUCCUGGUCCAGCACCGACGUCAGGCACGAAAGCGUGGGGAGCAAACAGG